rnacentral:lncRNA from 1 species
GGAGUAGUGACUUGCCUGAGAUCACACAGAGUUGAGACUGGGAUCCAGCUCCCUGCCCCUCGGGCCAGGGCGUUGCCUUUACCUGGGGCUGACUUUGGCAUUAGAUUGCAGUAGAAUCCAUCUCCCAGCUGCGUGCUGCGGCUCUCACACUGACUUCAUUCCUCUGGGAAGCUUUUUACGAAGUUUGACGGGACACUGUCCCUUUAAAUCCUCCCCAACUACCUCAAGCCGUCGGACGAGUCGGCACAUGCG